UUACUUAAACCAUUUGUGCAUGCCCACC
rnacentral:piRNA from 1 species